rnacentral:lncRNA from 1 species
CUGUGGGGGUGUGUGUUCACAAUUCCUGGUUUCCCGUGCACACACAGGCCUUCUAGAUUCCGCCUAUCUUCCAGUGAAUAAUUCCUGGCAUCCAGGACUCAGUGGAGGUGUGGAGAUGCCACCCCACCCUUCACACACACACACACACAAAGGGAACAUGUGGAAGUGUGGCUUACUGCUGUGUGAAUAAUCCUGAGGCUGCUAAAACUGUAGGUGACAGGCUGAAAGAGAGGGUUGCGGGAGCUGACUGUGGACUCUGUCUUCCCCUAGAUGGACUUGGCCGCACGUGUGCUGCUGUGAGACCCCAGUGUCGGAUCCCUCCUCCAACCAAACCCCCAAGGCCAGUUCCAGUAUCCUCCCCUGACAACACGGAGUUGCGCUGAUCCCAGCUGCUGGCUCUGGAGAAGAGGCCCUGUGAGCCACAGUGCCAGGAGACUUGACUUCUCUGCCUCUCCUUCAGUGACCAUUGCGAAGAGUGAUGGGUGGUCAACAGGGCCACUGUGUCUGAGAGAGGCACAGGAAACCGGGCCUCAGAGUCAGCCAAGCAGGCAGGACAGCACCUGUCAUUUCAAUGAUGGGCAAAGAAAUUUCCUUUUUGGAGAACAACCAGAAUACAAUUUAAAUGCUCUGUGUUGCUUUUGUUCAACACUUCUUUACUCCGUCAAACUAACCCACUAGUAAGGAAAGCUGUAAUGAACACAGGAGUGUUCCAAACAACCCCGUUCACCACCCAGCAAUGGAGUCCUCCUGAGGUAUCUUCCGGGACACGCCCUUCCUGUACAUCCGUGGAAACAUCCUCCUCCUCUCAAGCACGUCUUCACGCAACAUGAAAUGCUCUUCCUCAGGACUCUUGCGUCACCGUCUGUUUUGGUCACUUUCGCUCAGGCAGCUGUGAACAUGGGUGGUUUGAGGCCGGAGAGCAAAAGCUUGCUGACGCCUGGGUUCCCUAGACAUAGAAUGCCCGUGUGUGCGUGAAGUUUGGCCUCCGCAUAAACAUCCUG